GACUCUGUAGCUCAGUUGGUUAGAGCGCUGCACUGGGAUUGCACAAGUGCAGGUUCGAUUCCUGCCAGAGGGC